CCCAGCGGGGUACAUAGAAAAUGUUAAUCGCUUGUGAGCGGGGUACAUUGAAAAUAACAGAAGAGCGCUCAGCCAAUCAGAAAAUGACAUGUAUGUGUGAGGCAAAAUAAUUGCUCAUGCACCAAGACUGUGAGAUAGCUGCAGUUUGAUGAAAACCAUUCUGGAUUACGAAAACGGAUGACAUAGCUGUGAUGUCAGCUUCAGGACUAUCAAUUAGUAUUGUGUAAUAUGGGCUUCACUCACUUGCUUAGAAGGGGAGGUAGGUAGCCUAGUGGUUAAAGCGUUCACUCGUCACGCCAAAGACCCGGGUUCGAUUUCCCACAUGGGCACAAUGUGUGAAGCCCAUUUCUGGUGUCCCCUGCCGUGAUAUUGCUGGAAUAUUUCUAAAAACAGCGUAAAACCAUACUUACUCACUCACUCACUUGCUUAGAAAGUAACCAUUCAAUAUUUUGGGAUACGAGGGAGGCUUGUUUUUUUAAACUGAAUAUUGUUUUAGCUACAGCUGCGAAACCAUGUUUUCAGUUAAAUGUAAGAUCUUUCAUAUUUAAUAGUAAAGUUAAAAAAACAUCCUGCAGGAAUAUUGUUUUUGUGGCAAACAAGAUUCUUUUUGUUAACAGUUUGAAGCAUAAAUCAAUUAUUUUAAACAUUUUCGGAGGUGAUCUAUUUUUUCCGAUAAAAUCCAUGUCGCCCCGAGUAGUCUGUAAUAUAUUUAGGAGAUUUGCUUGUUACCCAAUGCUGGAUACUGGUAGACAAUGUUGGUGCUUCUGUGCAGAUGAAGUUCCUUAUCUUUGUUUAUUUACUUCCGUAUGGUGUUUGCCUGAAUGUUUGUAAUGUGAACGACGGAACUGUUUCAGUGCAGCGUUGUUUAUUCAUGAUCAGAUUUUAUUCAAUUUUCAUGUAUUUUGUUCAAGAGGGAACUGAUACAGGGAUUGUAAACUAGUUUUCUCUUUGAAUGUUUGUAUCCGUAAUGUGCACCGUUGACAAAUAUAAUAAAGAUGUUUAUUCUGUUUUUCUCUGGUACUCUGUGAAGGGUGGACAGUGUCUGUUUUUCUCUGGUACUCUGUGAGGUGUAGACAGUGUCUGUUUUUCUCUGGUGCUGUGUGAGGGGUGUGGACAGUGUCUGUUUUCUCUGGUACUCUGUGAGGGGUGUGGACAGUGUCUGUUUUUCUCUGGUACUCUGCGUGGGUGGACAGUGUCUGUUUUUCUCUGGUACUCUGUGAGGGGUGUAGACAGUGUCUGUUUUUCUCUGGUACUCUGUGAGGUGUGUGGACAGUGUCUGUUUUUCUCUGGUACUCUGU